rnacentral:tRNA from 1 species
AUUCUUAUAGUUUAUAACAAAAAAAAUAUUACACUGAAAAUGUAAAGAAAAUUGUAUUUUAAGAGUA